GCAUCCCUGUGCCCCGCGGGGUCCGAGGCCCUCUCCGCAGACCCCCGCCCUCAACUUCUUACCCCGGUUUGGACAAAAAGCUGCCCCGCUCUUUGUCCCCGGCCCAGGCCAUGGCGGGCUGGGGCGCGGGAGGGUGGGCGCCGCGGGCCCGGGAGCAGGGUGGAGCGCCGCGCGGGGCCGGGGCCGGGGCCGGUGCGGGCUGCCACGCCGGAGUCUGCAGCGUGCGAGUGAGAAGUGAGCGCUCGGCGCGGGGCGAGCAGGUGCCCGAGGCGCCGAGAGCGCGAGAGCAAGCCGGAGCGGCGGCAACCCCAGGCGUCUUCUGGAAGAGAGAUGUGUGGAGACAGCGGUUUCUUCUCCCGUCCCCAGCUCUGCUGUAGGCUCAUCCUGAGCCUUCUUGGCAUCUCAGUUUCCCAUCCAGGCGACCUGAGGCUUUAUCUG
ensembl:lncRNA